GUUAAGAGGUCAUCUGAAAGGAUUUAUGACCUAGUGAGCGUUGAGGCUUGCGACACUGUCAAAUUGCGGGGACGUCCUAAAGCUUUUGCGACCAAGCAUUUGUGGAAACACAAGUGUGGCCGAGUUAAUAGCCCUGGGUAUGGUAAAACUGCAAAAGAUGUUACAAUGGAUAAUCCGCAGCCAAGUCCUAAGGGCCCCUGGUAAUAAAUAUUGAGUUUAUUUCCAAGAGUCUAUGGAUGCAGUUCACAGACUAAAUGGCAGUGGGUGUGUAUUGAGUUGGGAUUUAUUCUGGCUCUACAUGCUUAAGAUAUAGUCGGUCCUGCCGCGAAAGCGGACU
rnacentral:ncRNA from 1 species